rnacentral:rRNA from 1 species
CUCAGAUUGAACGCUGGCGGCAGGCCUAACACAUGCAAGUCGAACGGUAACAUUUCUAGCUUGCUAGAAGAUGACGAGUGGCGGACGGGUGAGUAAUACUUAGGAAUAUGCCUUUGUGUGGGGGAUAACCAUUGGAAACGAUGGCUAAUACCGCAUAACGUCUUCGGACCAAAGGGGGCCUUGGCUCCCGCGCAAAGAGUAGCCUAAGCGAGAUUAGCUUGUUGGUGAGGUAAAGGCUCACCAAGGCGACGAUCUCUAGCUGUUCUGAGAGGAAGAUCAGCCACACUGGAACUGAGACACGGUCCAGACUCCUACGGGAGGCAGCAGUGGGGAAUAUUGCACAAUGGGGGAAACCCUGAUGCAGCCAUGCCGCGUGUGUGAAGAAGGCCUUCGGGUUGUAAAGCACUUUCAGUUGUGAGGAAAGGUUAACGGUUAAUACCCGUUAGCUGUGACGUUAGCAACAGAAGAAGGACCGGCUAACUCCGUGCCAGCAGCCGCGGUAAUACGGAGGGUCCGAGCGUUAAUCGGAAUUACUGGGCGUAAAGCGCACGCAGGCGGUUUGUUAAGCUAGAUGUGAAAGCCCCGGGCUCAACCUGGGACGGUCAUUUAGAACUGGCAGACUAGAGUCUUGGAGAGGGGAGUGGAAUUCCAGGUGUAGCGGUGAAAUGCGUAGAUAUCUGGAGGAACAUCAGUGGCGAAGGCGACUCCCUGGCCAAAGACUGACGCUCAUGUGCGAAAGUGUGGGUAGCGAACAGGAUUAGAUACCCUGGUAGUCCACACCGUAAACGCUGUCUACUAGCUGUUUGUGGCUUUAAGCCGUGAGUAGCGAAGCUAACGCGAUAAGUAGACCGCCUGGGGAGUACGGCCGCAAGGUUAAAACUCAAAUGAAUUGACGGGGGCCCGCACAAGCGGUGGAGCAUGUGGUUUAAUUCGA